rnacentral:rRNA from 1 species
GACAGAGGUGCCGAGCGUUAGGCGGAAUCACUGGGCUUAAAGCGUGUGUAGGCGGGCGGGCAAGUACCUUGUGAAAUCCCACGGCUCAACCGUGGAACGGCUGGGUAUACUGCCUGUCUUGAGCCAACUAGGGGCGAGCGGAACAGACGGUGGAGCGGUGAAAUGCGUAGAUAUCGGGAGGAACACCUGUGGCGAAAGCGGCGCACUGGACCAUAACUGACGCUGAGGCGCGAAAGCUAGGGGAGCAAACAGG